ensembl:lncRNA
GAGCAUGUGAUAGAGAUCAGCAGGUGUCAGGAGCUCUUUUACCGGAGCCUGAAGGAUUGUUAUAAGGGGACGGCUGAGGACUGAAGAAACACUACAGUGUGGCCCUGGAUCUCUAGCUGGAGUUUGUAGCCUGAGAAACACGAUACAAAAAAGAGACAAGCUACGCUAAGAUGAAGAACAUGACAGGAGGCCCAAGCCCCAAGUUCAGACAAGCAGACCUGCAGUCCUCAGCAGGCAAGUGACUAGGUCUGUGGACAUCGUAGCAACGUCACGAGUCACGUGGAACCUGCCGAAUCAGCCCGCACCCCGACAGCAAUCCACUGGACACCCCGCCCCCGGCUCCUCUGUACAACCACCUGGUUCCACACUACAAAGACACAGAGGACACCGGACCACCAGACCACUGUACUGGGGAGAAUAUCCAGCUAUGUGGAGUCUGUAUUGAAGAGGAAUAUUUCAAAAAGCAGAGAUAUUCUUGAACAUCAAUGGACAUGAUGCAGCAGAGGAUUCUAAUGUUUUGAUCUUUGUUGAGCAUGCUCUGAGAACCCUAUGCCCCAGAAUCCAUACAAGUGUCUUAGACUUGAACCCAACUCACAAGGAGGAAUUGUGUCCAGCCAAGCUUCUGUCUGAAGUAGAACCUCCUGCUGGAGCCCAGCCUGGAUCAAGUAAACUACAGAGAACCUGCAGACCAUGGGCAUAGGACUGAAUGCUUGUUUUAAGUGACUGAAUGCUGGGGUGGUUUGCUAAAUGGUAUGAUUUUCACAACAGAUAACUAAUACACCACUCUGGGGUCCAGAACACGCUGUAUUUGCCUAAAUAAACCAUGUACCUUGUUCAUCAUUGCAUUUCCUGUUUCUACUGCACUGUCUGAUAUUUAGCAGGUGUUCAAAAAUAUGUGUUGAAGGGAUGAAAAAAUGGCUCCUGACCUGGGUAAUCUCACAGGCUAGUGUGUGAGACAGUUCUGGGAACAAAUAGUUACAUUGUAAAGUGAUAAAUGCAGCAAUAGAAGAGCUAUGAUAGCAUGGAGGUGGGAAGCCUUCAAAUGUUGUGUUAUCUACACCAAGGAAAAGUGUAAAGCACCAGUACUCAUGUUUGUACAUAAUAAGGACACUUAAGCUACCAUCAGAGGCUUCUUCGUAAGCUUAUUGGUACAAGAUUGGCUAUUUUGAAAGUCACUAAACAGACUUAAAAGUUCCUGCCAGUACUUAAUAAAUUCUGAUUUCAAAAAUUUUUCAGUGUAUAUAAUGAAUAAAAUGAGAUAUAUAGAAUCUGGAUUGUAUCCAAGAAAAAUGGCAAUGGGCUUAAGGAAUGAAAUUCCAGACAGUUGUAUACUAGCAUAUAUGUUUAAAUACCCUGAAAAGGCAAAUCAUUGCUUAAUGAAUAAAAAUGAGGAUUGGAAAAUCUGUGUAGUAAAUGAAGGUAGGGGGAAGUUCACAAUACAAGAUACAUCUACUUUUCAUUUUCUACUUUGCAUUAAAAAUAAAAGUCCUCCUCAAGUAACGAGUGACCAACUGGUCUGUUCUCUCUUUUUGAUCCAAACCUCUUUGCAGGAGGACUUCGAGGGCUGGCUGAUUCUUAAGUUGUUCAGGCUUAGAAAUGCAUUGUCACUCCUGUCUAGGUGUUGCAAAGCGAGAGAUAUGCAACAAGACUUGUUUAUGAGGUGAAAUAGCAAAAUAUUUCCAAGGGCUAAGCCUGUCUGUAUUCAUUUGGGAUGGUCGGUCGGCUUCUUAUUGGAACUGCUGAGCAGCCUUCCCUCUCAAUCUGUCACCUUCCUCUCUUUUUUCUAUCAUCCAAAAAGUGUAUUAAAAUUCCACUUCACUGGUAUCUCCUCUAGCACUCUGCUUAUCCUCAGGGAUCAAUACCUUUUUCCUGAUGUGUUAGCAAAGUUUGGGGCAGUGGAAGACUAAAUUGUGUUGUGGUCAUUAUGACUUUUAGGGAGGAAAGGAGAAUAGGAAAAAAACAAGAACCAAG